rnacentral:rRNA from 1 species
UAGGGAAUCUUCGGCAAUGGGGGCAACCCUGACCGAGCAACGCCGCGUGAGUGAAGAAGGUUUUCGGAUCGUAAAGCUCUGUUGUAAGAGAAGAACGUGUGUGAGAGUGGAAAGUUCACACAGUGACGGUAACUUACCAGAAAGGGACGGCUAACUACGUGCCAGCAGCCGCGGUAAUACGUAGGUCCCGAGCGUUGUCCGGAUUUAUUGGGCGUAAAGCGAGCGCAGGCGGUUUAAUAAGUCUGAAGUUAAAGGCAGUGGCUUAACCAUUGUUCGCUUUGGAAACUGUUUAACUUGAGUGCAGAAGGGGGGAGUGGAAUUCCAUGUGUAGCGGUGAAAUGCGUAGAUAUAUGGAGGAACGCCGGUGGCGAAAGCGGCUCUCUGGUCUGUAACUGACGCUGAGGCUCGAAAGCGUGGGGAGCAAACAGG